UUAACCUGGUUUGGAACUGCCAGUAGUCAUAUGCUUGUUUCAAAGAUUAAGCCAUGCAUGUCUAAGCACAGGCCGAACUAAGGCUAAGCCGCGAAUGGCUCAUUAAAUCAGUUAUGGUUCAUUGGAUCCAACUCAACCUCUAAUUGGAUACCUGUGGUAAUCCUAGAGCUAAUACAUGACCCACGUCUCCGACCGCGAGGGAGGAGCGCUUUUAUUAGUUGAAAACCAACCGGGCCUCGGUCCGCUAAAGACACCUGUGGUGAAGCUGAAUAACUUUGUGCCGAGCGCACGGUCUCCGCACCGGCGCCGAUUCCUUCGAGUGUCUGCCUUAUCAGGCUGUCGAUUGUAGGUUAUGUGCCUACAAUGGCUAUAACGGGUGACGGGGAAUCAGGGUUCGAUUCCGGAGAGGGAGCCUGAGAAACGGCUACCACAUCCAAGGAAGGCAGCAGGCACGCAAAUUACCCACUCCCGGCUUGGGGAGGUAGUGACGAAAAAUAACGAUGCGGGACUCAUCCGAGGCCUCGCAAUUGGAAUGAGUACACUUUAAAUCCUUUAACGAGGACCCAUUGGAGGGCAAGUCUGGUGCCAGCAGCCGCGGUAAUUCCAGCUCCAAUAGCGUAUAUUAAAGUUGUUGCGGUUAAAAAGCUCGUAGUUGGAUUCGAGUUCCGGACGGACGGUUUCGCCGCACGGCGCUUACUGUCCCGCUCCGAACAUCCGCCACGCCGGUUCAUUCGCCUGGGGUGCUCUUCAUCGAGUGUCCCGAGCGGCCGGCAAGUUUACCUUGAACAAAUCAGAGUGCUCAGAGCAGGCUAAUUGAAUGGCCCGUAUGUUUCCUGCAUGGAAUGAUGGAAGAUGACCUCGGUUCCAUUUUGUUUGUUUUCGGAACCCGAGGUAAUGAUGAAUAGAGACGGACGGGGGCAUCCGUACUGCGACGUGAGAGGUGAAAUUCUUGGAAUGUCGCAAGACGAACGACAGCGAAAGCAUUUGCCAAGUAUGUCUUCGUUAAUCAAGAACGAAAGUUAGAGGUUCGAAGGCGAUCAGAUACCGCCCCUAGUUCUAACCAUAAACGAUGCUGACCAGCGAUCCGCCGGCGUUAUUCCCAUGACGCGGCGGGAAGCUACUCCGGGAAACCAAAGUCUUUGAGUUCCGGGGGUAGUAUGGUUGCAAAACUGAAACUUAAAGGAAUUGACGGAAGGGCACCACCAGGAGUGGAGCCUGCGGCUUAAUUUGACUCAACACGGGGAACCUCACCAGGCCCGGACACCGGAAGGAUUGACAGAUUGAGAGCUCUUUCUCGAUUCGGUGGGUGGUGGUGCAUGGCCGUUCUUAGUUGGUGGAGCGAUUUGUCUGGUUAAUUCCGAUAACGAACGAGACUCUGGCCUACUAACUAGUCGACGGGUCUCCAGCAAUUGGUGCCCAGUUCGCAACAUCUUCUUAGAGGGAUAAGCGGCAAUUCUAGCCGCACGAGAUUGAGCAAUAACAGGUCUGUGAUGCCCUUAGAUGUCCUGGGCCGCACGCGCGCUACACUGAAGGGGGCAGCGGGUCUCCCUCUCCGAGAGGAGCGGGUAACCGCUUGAAAACCUUUCAUGAUAGGGACUGGGGCUUGUAAUUGUUUCCCAUGAACGAGGAAUUCCCAGUAAGCGCAAGUCAUCAGCUUGCGCUGAUUAAGUCCCUGCCCUUUGUACACACCGCCCGUCGCUACUACCGAUUGAAUGAUUUAGUGAGGCCUUCGGACUGGCGCUCCUGGAACGACCCCAUCCCCGACCGGGGACCCGGGGUCUCCUCGAGUCGACGGAAAGAUGUCCAAACUUGAUCAUUUAGAGGAAGUAAAAGUCGUAACAAGGUUUCCGUAGGUGAACCUGCGGGGAAAAGGAUCAA
rnacentral:rRNA from 1 species